UUUGCUGUAGGCCCGAGUGGGUGCUGCCGAAAUGGGCAAAUUCAUGGAACCUAGGAAGGUGGUGCUUGUCCUGGCUGGAUGCUACUCUGGACGCAAAGCUGUCAUAGUGAAGAACAUUGAUGAUGGCACCUCAGAUCGCCCCUGCAGUCAUGCUUUGGUGGCUGGAAUUGACUGCUAUCCCCACAAAGUGACAGCUACCAUGGGCAAGAAGAAGAUCGCCAAGAGGUCAAAGAUCAAGUCUUUUAGGAAAGUUUAAAACUACAAUCACCUGAUGCCCACAAGGCACUCUGUGGACAUCCCUUUGCACAAAGGCCAAGGUCAAGUUUGAGGAGAGAUACAGGACAGGUAAGAACAAGUGGUUCUUUCAGAAGCUGCAGUCUUAG